CAUGCAAGUCGAACGAACCUUCGGGUUAGUGGCGGACGGGUGAGUAACGCGUGAGAAUCUGCCCUCAGGAGGGGGAUAACAGUUGGAAACGACUGCUAAUACCCCAUAUGCCGAGAGGUGAAAUGAAUUUCGCCUGGGGAUGAGCUCGCGUCUGAUUAGCUUGUUGGUGGGGUAAUAGCCUACCAAGGCUUCGAUCAGUAGCUGGUCUGAGAGGACGAUCAGCCACACUGGGACUGAGACACGGCCCAGACUCCUACGGGAGGCAGCAGUGGGGAAUUUUCCGCAAUGGGCGAAAGCCUGACGGAGCAACGCCGCGUGAGGGAUGGAGGCCUUUGGGCUGUAAACCUCUUUUCUCAAGGAAGAAGAUCUGACGGUACUUGAGGAAUAAGCCACGGCUAAUUCCGUGCCAGCAGCCGCGGUAAUACGGGAGUGGCAAGCGUUAUCCGGAAUUAUUGGGCGUAAAGCGUCCGCAGGCGGCCGUUUAAGUCUGUUGUUAAAUCGUGGAGCUCAACUCCAUCACGGCAAUGGAAACUGUUCGGCUUGAGUAUGGUAGGGGCGGAGGGAAUUUCCGGUGUAGCGGUGAAGUGCGUAGAUAUCGGGAAGAACACCAGUGGCGAAAGCGCUCUGCUGGGCCAUUACUGACG
rnacentral:rRNA from 1 species